GACGGAGGGCGCGGGUGUUAUUCGUUUUGAUUGGGUGUAAAGGGUACGUAGGUGGCUGUUGAUAAUUCUUGGCUUAAAAUGCGGAGGGUUCCUACGCGCCAGCCUUUUAAGGAUCCAGCUAGAAUUGAAGAUAGGUCGGGGCAAUUUCUUGUGUAGGGGUAAAAUCCCGCUAGAUAAGGAAGAAGGCCAGCUGGCGGAGGCGUCUCUCUAGCUUCAAUUGACGCUAAGGUACGGAAGCCUAGGUAGCAAACAGA
rnacentral:rRNA from 1 species